UGUGAGAGUAGAGAUUUUUUGAAGAGCUCAGCUGACAUCAGCAUCACUCUUUGGUCUCCAGUAUUAUUUUUUCUUACAUUUUACUUCUUUAGAUGUUUCUUAAAAUUGAAUGUCUGAAGAGCAUGUGGCACCAUGGCAGGAGUUAGGUGUUUGGGAGGUGGAUGUCAUCAUGAAAGACCCAAGAAACACUGUUCUUGAGGCAGUGAUCUUGUUAUUGGGACUCAUUUUCCAGUUAACUUGUCCUUGGGGACUCAAGCAUGUUACUCAACAUGUUUUGAGAUCAUCUUCUGAUGAGACUCACCUACCUCUUUGGUUUCUUGUUUAUAUUAUUCACAGGUAAAAUUGCUUUUAUCCAUUGGGAUCUUAUAGAGCAUAAACACUGUAGUAGAUACUAGUAGCACGUUGAAGUGUAUCAUGGUUUCCAUUUUCAAUAUAAGCUAGAUUUUAGGCAGAUAUUAAUAAGUCUAUUUGAAAUUAGACUUUAUCUGAGGAAAGUCAGUGUGAUCUGUAUUCAUCUUACAUGUUGGUAGUAGAUCUUGAGACACCUUUCAUCGCUGGAGUUGAGACAGCUGUUUCCUUUGUCCUGUUUUUAUGAGCAAUCCUCAGGUAACUUCAGUUCUGCUGGUAGGCAGUGCAGCGUUGGGAAGAGCUCACUGCUAAGAGGCUCAGCGUUUGUGAAAGAUGACCAAGAGGGUCCUUUGUGAGAAUUCAGCACCCACACCAAACAGCAGUUCUCUUUCUACUGGAUUGUCUUGAUUGAUCAGAUGACAGUUUACAAACAUUUUGAACAUUUUUAUCACAUAUACAUUUUGAAAGCUUAAAAAAAAAAGUGCUAUGGUAUAGCUUUGAAGAAUUUAGGUGUAGUAUCAUAUGUUGCCUAUUCUGUAUUUUCUUGAUGGAAAAAAAUGCCACUAUGAGUUAUCACCACUGGCUGACAUCAUCAGAAAUGUUUUUCUUUUUCCUUCAGGCUAAUAAGUAAGAAGCAGGAAAGAGAUAAUGAAGUGUUUGUGGUCAAAAGAAAGAGUCAAAAGAAAUCCUUAAUAAUCUGAAAUAGUGAUAUUCAAACUUUCAAAUAUUCAUUUGCAUUUAAAUCUUCCCAGGGGAGCUUGUUAACAAUAAAUACAGGUCACCAGGGCCCCAGAGGGGCACUGGGCCCACCAAGGCCCACUUUUAUUUGUUGAGUAUGUGGUCUGAUUCUGGUUCAGAUGGUCUGUGGGGCAUACUUCAAGAAACACUCCUGUGGGAAAUAUAUCCACUUAAAAAUUGUCUGUUUUGUCCAAAAAAUGUUUGAUUUGUGUUGGAAGCCCUUAUCUCCCAGUGCAUGGAUAAUCCACAUUUAGAGGAAAAUCUGUAUAUCAUUGGCCUAAUUUGCUGCCACGUGUGUUAGUGUUGGAUCGCUCCAGUGUCAGCUUUAUCAUCUUUCAACCCGCAAAGUUCUGAUAAAACAUAUAGUUUCAAAGUAGAGUGAAAAGAUGACUUCACAAUUGAAAGUGAUGCCUUUUGGAAUCUGAUUCCUCUCAUAUUUUCUUUUCUAGAUGAGAGGUAUCUUUAUUGUAUGUAACCUCCUGAAGAGUAAGGGGAAUGCAAAGAUUCAUCCAAUUCCUAUUGCUCUUUACGCCAGUUGUGUUCAAUGGAAGCAUGGAAAAAAUAAAACAACCAUUUAAAUCUAUGUAUUUCAGUUGCUGACAAGGAUACUUAACUUAAUAUUUGCUUUUGUUUACAUGAAAAUAUUUAUGUAUAUAUCACAGGAAAAAUGUUCACUUGCUUGCUAUUUUAUACUUCCAUGAUUUUUAAUGUUUAAAGGACUGUUUAAUUCAGAUUUUCACAACCAUAGUCUUCAUUGAAAACUCAGUUUUUAUAAUAAUAAAUGAAAAUGUCAAAGCACAUGUUUGUUAUUACAAGUAAAUGGUAAUACAGUUCUUAGAUAUUAAUGGGUACUAGUCCUUUUACCAGUAAGAAAAUGAAUAAAUGUCUAACAUUUCUAAAAGUGGAGUAUUUUUAAAGGACUACUUCAUUUAUCUUAGAAAAAAAAUUGUCAUGAAUAAUACUUUCUGUUCAAUUA
rnacentral:lncRNA from 1 species